UCCUGUGAUCCUCGGGACGAUCCCCGCGCGCCUCCCAAGGUCACGGGCCCGCUCCCCCCGCGCCAUCUGGCGCCUCCGAGUUCCAGCAGGGAUGGAUCUUCUGCUGGGGCUGCAGCAAGAAGCCAGGCGCUCGGGCGCUCGUGGUUCGGGGGGCGCGUCGUGGUUCAGGGGGAGACAUCGCUGCCUGCGAGGGGCAGACGCCGUCUCCAUCUCUACACGGAGGGUUUGCGCCCAGGCCUGAGGUGGCUGUGUACUGGGAAGAUGGCAUGGACGAGGAGCCCCCGCUGCGUCUGUUUUGCGUAUUGGGGUGCCUUUGAAAUGAGGUUCGUUGCUUCAGUCCUGCUGGGUGGGCACCACUGGGCCAGGAGACUUUACCAGCCUUUUUUCCAGGGUGGACAUUUCCUUUUCUCCACUAGCCGCAGAGCCUGGGGCGCCAGGCGCAAAGGAUGGAGACGACACCCCUGGGCCUGGGGCCCUCGGCUCUGCUCCCCCCGGGCUCCCUCCUGGGAUCGAAGCAGCUGAAGGAGGCGCCCUAGACGGGGUGGAGAUCUGAGAUGCUGGGCGCACCCAGCCCCCGCGGCCCCCCCUCCCGUCACCUAGGCAACGGGGGGGGUGCAGCACGGCUCCCUCUGCACCCCCUCCAGCGCAGGCCGCCUUCCCGCUGCUCGGUCUCAGCUCGCGGCUUCCCGGGACUGGACCUGGGAGUUGCACCGUUAGAGCUGCUUUUUUUUUGUGAGCAUGGAAACCAGAUUCCAGGCGGGGGCCCCAAGUCGCUAAAAUAAUCCUGGUUUGCAUGCCGCGUUUGCCUUUCUGGCCGGCGCGCUGCAGGCGCAGGUCUGACCUUGCCAGCUCGGCGUGUGCAGAGCUUGGUGAGGCCUGAGUUGGGGGCUCCGUGGUGCUCCAAGAGGCUGGGGACAGGCAGGGACCUAGAGAGCCCUUUAGACAGCUGGGGGAGGGUCACCUGCCCUGGGGGCUGGGUAGUUCUGUGCUCCAGGGGGCCUCAGGAGCUCAGAGUCCCCGAAUUCAAGUUGGCUUGGGGUUAAUCUCUGCGAUCAGGCAUGGGGGCUGGGGGCCAGCGCGGGCUCCCCAUGACACUCCAGCGGGAGCCAAUAGAGGGCGGGGACUGUGGGCCUUCUUGGAAUUUGUGUCCGCAAAUGACACUGAAAAUCCUGGUUCAAUGAAGGGAGUGAGCUGAGCUCUGAACCCCAAAAGGACCAAUGCUGAGCCCAUCCCAAGCUGGGCCAUAGGACCUGGGGCAAGCCCCAGCUAAGGGAGAGGAGAAGGUGGGUGGGUUAGAGCAAGGAUAAAAUGUUGGUAGCCAUUAGAGUUAAUUCAUGAAUUCAGAGAAGUUGCAAGCUACCAGCUCAACACACAAAAAUCAGUCAUAUUUCUCUACAUUAAAAGCAAUGAAUAUCUGCACAGGAAAUGAAGAAAACAAUUUUCACAUUUAAUGCCAUUAAAGGAAUAAAAUAUGGGAACUCUGUGCUCUUUGCUCA
rnacentral:lncRNA from 1 species